UAGUGGGGGAGUAACUAGCCGAAAGGUUAGCUAAUACCGCAUACGAUCUUCGAGGGACAUCUCUUGAUGAUGAAAGGAGCAAUCCGCUUUCGGACGGGACCGCGUCCCAUUAGCUAGAUGGUGGGGUAAUGGCCUACCACGGCAACGAUGGGUAGCUGGUUUGAGAGAGCGACCAGCCACACUGGGACUGAGAAACGGCCCAG
rnacentral:rRNA from 1 species